GAUGAACGCUGGCGGCGUGCCUAAUACAUGCAAGUCGAGCGAACGGACGAGAAGCUUGCUUCUCUGAUGUUAGCGGCGGACGGGUGAGUAACACGUGGAUAACCUACCUAUAAGACUGGGAUAACUUCGGGAAACCGUAGCUAAUACCGGAUAAUAUUUUGAACCGCAUGGUUCAAAAGUGAAAGACGGUCUUGCUGUCACUUAUAGAUGGAUCCGCGCUGCAUUAGCUAGUUGGUAAGGUAACGGCUUACCAAGGCAACGAUGCAUAGCCGACCUGAGAGGGUGAUCGGCCACACUGGAACUGAGACACGGUCCAGACUCCGACGGGAGGCAGCAGUAGGGAAUCUUCCGCAAUGGGCGAAAGCCUGACGGAGCAACGCCGCGUGAGUGAUGAAGGUCUUCGGAUCGUAAAACUCUGUUAUUAGGGAAGAACAUAUGUGUAAGUAACUGUGCACAUCUUGACGGUACCUAAUCAGAAAGCCACGGCUAACUAC
rnacentral:rRNA from 1 species